rnacentral:rRNA from 1 species
UGGGGAAUUGUUCACAAUGGGCGCAAGCCUGAUGACGCAACGCCGCGUGGGGGAUGAAGGUCUUCGGAUUGUACACCCCUGUCGAAUGGGACGAAAGACUCGCGAGUUAAUACUUCGCGGGAGUGACGGUACCGUUAAAGGAAGCCACGGCUAACUCUGUGCCAGCAGCCGCGGUAAUACAGAGGUGGCAAGCGUUGUUCGGAAUUACUGGGCGUAAAGGGCGCGUAGGCGGCCUACUAAGUCAGACGUGAAAUCCCCCGGCUUAACCUGGGAACUGCGUCUGAUACUGGAAGGCUUGAGUAUGGGAGAGGGAUGUAGAAUUCCAGGUGUAGCGGUGAAAUGCGUAGAUAUCAAGAGGAACACCUGAGGUGAAGACGGGUUGCUGGGCUGACACUGACGCUGAGGCGCGAAAGCCAGGGGAGCAAACGGGAUUAGAUACCCCCGUAGUCCCUGAGCGGGCUGGCAAGGCGCAU